UACGAAGGGGCUAGCGUUGUUCGGAAUUACUGGGCGUAAAGCGCACGUAGGCGGACAUUUAAGUCAGGGGUGAAAUCCCAGAGCUCAACUCUGGAACUGCCUUUGAUACUGGGUGUCUUGAGUAUGGAAGAGGUGAGUGGAAUUCCGAGUGUAGAGGUGAAAUUCGUAGAUAUUCGGAGGAACACCAGUGGCGAAGGCGGCUCACUGGUCCAUUACUGACGCUGAGGUGCGAAAGCGUGGGAGCAAACAGG
rnacentral:rRNA from 1 species